GUCCUGGGAUAGUCCUGGGACUAGGUAGAGCAUGAGACUCUUAACCUCAAGGUUGUGGGUUCGAAUCCCACCUUGGGCA